rnacentral:misc_RNA from 1 species
CUGAGUUAUCAAAACUCCCAACCCUUUGUGAACCUUACCACUGUUGCCUCGGCGUCAGCUGCGGCUACCCUGGAGUGCUACCAUGGCACCCACCUACCUGGUAGGUGCUACCCGGUAGUCACCCUGUAGUCCGCGUAUAGCGCGCCGGUGGACCAAUAAAUUCUGUUUUUACCUGAGAAUCUCUGAAUGCUUCAACUAAAUUAGUUA